GUGUCCUCAGUGUAGUGGAAGCAUGCCCGACAAAAUCGGGCGGGUCCGGUUCGAUUCCGGAAGGAUGCGA
rnacentral:tRNA from 1 species